rnacentral:rRNA from 1 species
UUUUCUAAGUCUGAUGUGAAAGCCUUCGGCUUAACCGGAGAAGUGCAUCGGAAACUGGAUAACUUGAGUGCAGAAGAGGGUAGUGGAACUCCAUGUGUAGCGGUGGAAUGCGUAGAUAUAUGGAAGAACACCAGUGGCGAAGGCGGCUACCUGGUCUGCAACUGACGCUGAGACUCGAAAGCAUGGGUAGCGAACAGGAUUAGAUACCCUGGUAG